GAUAAUUGGCUUGUGGCGGCCAAGCAUUCGUAGCGACGUCGCUUUUUGAUCCUUUGAUGCCGGCUCUUCCUAUCAGUUUGAAGCAAAAUUCAUCAAGCGUUGAAUUGUUCACCCAUGUAAGGGGACGUGACCUGGGUUUAGAUCGUCGUGAGACAGGUU
rnacentral:ncRNA from 1 species